CAUCCGGCACUGGAGAUCAAAAGGGAAUCGGGUGAAAAUCCCGGACAGGCCCGCUGCUGUGAGCUUCAUUCUAUUGUUUUUAACCAAUUCUCCUGCCACUGUCUGCAACAGACGGGAAGGCGUUAAAAACGGAAGCAAGUCAGAAGACCUGCCAAUACA
rnacentral:ncRNA from 1 species